UGGUGGGGAAGAUUCAUGUGUCUGUCUGUCUCAUUGUAUCUCUGGGUCUUUCUGUUACUGCCUUUUGAUCAUUUUCUGUUUUUUUCUCCCUCUUCUUUUGUCUCUUCCUUGGUAGAUGCUAACUGACAUUCCUUGGUAUCUGUCACAGCCACACCCAAAGGACAAACCAAAUAACCAAUUUAAGGUUGGAAAACUAUCAACAACAUUUCCUGACUCACUUGAAGCUGUGGGGUCCAGAUGUGAGUCAGGUUUUGCCAAUUAGAUGCACUGGGACAGGACGAGGAGGCAGAAGCAGAGAAGGCUGUCUUCCUGACAAGCACACUCUGGCUGAAGGCAGAGAAGAAGCAAAGGAAGACUAAAAUAUUAUAACUUGUAAAUACAAGGGAUCUAUUUUGUUGCCUUGAACACUGAAAAGGAACCUAGAUGCACUCCUGUCCCCGUGACUGAGCUGCCACAUCCAGCUUCCCAGCACUGUCUCUGAGUCUGGCCUCUUGUGGAUCGUCUGCAUUUCUCAUCAAGACAGUCAAUAUUUUGGGAUCAAGAAUUUAGGGGCAAAGGCCUCUAAAUGAUUUCUCAUCCAUGCAGAGGGAAAAAUGUAUUUGUUCUCCAGAAAGAGGCACAAAGCAAAACAUUUGAUUAUACCACUUUGCCUGGCACUUGAUUUAUCUUACCAGUAAAUCUGCUUUU